GACGAACGCUGGCGGCGUGCUUAACACAUGCAAGUCGAACGGAAAGGCGCUGCUUUUGUGGGGUGCUCGAGUGGCGAACGGGUGAGUAACACGUGAGUAACCUGCCCUUGACUUUGGGAUAACUUCAGGAAACUGGGGCUCAUACCGGAUAGGAGCUCCUGCUGCAUGGUGGGCGUUGGAAAGUUUCGGCGGUUGGGGAUGGACUCGCGGCUUAUCAGCUUGUUGGUGGGGUAGUGGCUUACCACGGCUUUGACGGGUAGCCGACCUGAGAGGGGGACCGGCGACAUUGGGACUGAGGGACGGACCAGACGCCUACGGGAGGCAACAGUCGGAAGUAUUGCACAAUGAGCGGAAGCCUGAGGCAGAGGCCCCCGGUGCGGAAAGACGGCCUUCUGGUGAUAAACAGCUUUCGCCUGAGACGAAGCGUGAGUGACGGUACUGGAUAAAGAAGCACCGGCUAACUACGUG
rnacentral:rRNA from 1 species